GAGAAUAUGCACCGACGAAGACGCCUAAAUCCAAAGGCUGAUGCCAACUUUUACAUUGAUACUGGAGGGGACAAAGUGGGACUUGACAUCAAAUACAUCAAUGCCUUCAAAGGUCAUGGCAUCUUCACCUCUGCUCUAUUUGAAAAGGGAGAAUUUCUGUUGGAAUAUAGAGGUGAAUUAAUAAGCCAGCAAGAAUGUGAACGGAGACAGAGACUUCAUCACGACUGCCUGAAGGUGUUCAUGUUCGAGUUCCAUUUUAAUGGAAAACUAUGGUGUUUUGAUGCAGCAA